CACCGGACGAGUCGGUGCUCGACUGGCGCGAGUGCGAGCCGGAGUCAGGCUCCUUGAAGAACGACUCGGGCAGGAUCUUCUUCCGCCACGAGCUGGGCUUGGGGUUCAUCACCGAGUUGAAGAGGGCUUCGAGGGUGACUCAAGUCACUAGGGGUUGAGAAGAAACCUGGUCAAAGCUUGGGCGCUGGAAAGGGACAGCGAUCGUGCCCCCCUCUCCCGCGACAUCCGCGCGGGUAGUGGGAGGAUUGGAAUGUCCCUGACGCCCUCCAGAGAGCCUGGAGCCGGGAUGGAACCGGAACAGGUGGCUGGGAGCAGAGAGGGUGCGCCAGUGACCCGGAAAAAACCACCCACCCUCCCACCGACUGGAUCUAGGCGAGGGGUGGAGACCCCCUGCUAGAUCUAGACUGGCAAGACAGCUGCGGGAAGUAGUAGGCGGCCUGGUCCUCCGGAGCAGCUCAAUUCCUUCUUUCCUUGUCCCUUCUCCAUUGGGGAGAAGGGGAGAGUGGCUGCGAGGCUCCAGACGCGCAGGCUCAGCGGCCAUGGCUCACGGGCCCAGCCGCUCCGCAGCAUGUGGGAUCCUCCAGGACGGGGGCACGAACCCGUGUCCCCUGCAUCAGCAGGCGGACUCUCAACCACUGCGCCACCAGGGAAGCCCCACACCCCAUAGUUUUGCUUUGGAAAAGAUGGAAAAAUCAAGACUGCCUGAGAGAGAAAGACAGUCAUGUGGAUCACUGUCAAAGGUGAGCAGAGCAUGGCUCCUUCAGGAGACUCUGGAACUAUUUCCCAUCAGCAGGUCCUCUGCCCAUAGGACCAGCAGAGGGAAGGGGAAGCUGCUACAGGUCACUCCAUGGGAAAUAGCAUCUUUACAAGCUAUCGUCAGAAGCCACCACAGUUGCAACAAUGGGAAAAUUAGCUCUGGAACUAGAGGAAGUGACUGGGACCGAAAGGUUACUAAUUCAGAAGCCACUUGAUGAACAGAUGCAACCUUGAGGCCAGCCCAACUCCAGGAAGGUCCUCACCCAAGAAGGAAGGUCUUGCUUUGUAAAGAGUUCCUGGCUGCUGCACAGAGGAAGAUGCUGAGGGAGCCAUGAGAUUGAUCAGUUAGGGAGAAUCAGGAUUGAGGUUGGGUGGGCAAGGAUGCCGUCAUUCCUUGCCAAACUUCAAGACAUAGAUAGUGGAGGACAAAGUAGAUGCCUGAAAUGGAAACUGCUCUGAUCACGUGAUAGCUCAAAGGGAAAACUCCCAGUUCCCAAACAGUCUAUAAGAUAUGAUAGUGGAUGGCCAAAGAGAUUUGCUUCAGUGCCUCAAACAGUAGUUUCAGAUUAAAUAACAUUUAUAGGUGCCUUGUAUAUAUCAGGUACUGCCCAUAAGAGGCAGUAUGGUGUAACAGGUAAGUGUAUAAUGAAUCUCUGGAGGAAAAUACCUGAGGCAAGAUACUGAAACUCUCUAUUCCUGAGUUUUCUCCUUUGUAAAUUAGAAACAAUAACCGUACCCACCUCACAGGAUUUUAGAUUAAAACAAAUUACAGUCGGCCCUUUGUAUCCUUGGGUUCCACAUCCACUGUGGAUUUAAAAAAAAAAAAAUCCAGAA